CUGAACCCGUCGGCUGCUGGCGGAAUGCUCGAGCUGCUCGCGCGGCGAGAGCGGGCCGCCGCGUGCCGGCCGGGGGACGGACCGGGAACGGCCCCCUCGGGGGCCUUCCCUGGGCGUCGAACAACCGACUCAGAACUGGUCUCCUCGGCCGAGCCCCGCACCCCCUCGCGGCCUAGCCGUGGCCGGUCGGCACCCUACCGCGCCCAGCUCCGGCUGGCGCUGUUGGCUGCAUGGCCGGCCGUGGUUCGGCCGUGA
rnacentral:misc_RNA from 1 species